rnacentral:snoRNA from 1 species
UGCUUAUGUCACAAAGUAUAUUUUAUACAAGAGCACUUAACACUGUGACUAAAAACUGAAGAGCUCUACAGCAUGACAUAGUCAUUCAAUAGUGCUAUGUUUUUCUGAGGAGAUAUAAAA